CUUCCAACUAUACGUGGCGCACCUGCAUAACAGGGACAUGCAAGUGGUUCUUUUGGAGAUUAUGGUGAACUAGUGUGUGUUAUAGCAGUGUUUUGCCAUUGAGAACGAGCUAGC